ACAGGUUCACUGUGGGAGUUUUAUAAGCCAAUAGAGCAUAAAAGAUAGUAUCUUUUAAUAAGCCCAUAAAGAAAUGACAUACUCCAAAUUAAUGAUAGCUUAGUCAACUAUUGUUUCAGGCAAGAGGAGUUGAAAAAGAGAAAGUCCAAAUUUAGUUGGAGUAUACCUUUAUGCAAGUUGGUAAUGAGGAGAGUUGGGUUAGCCAAUUGAAGGCUGACGUCUGCCUGCCAGGGCAAAGGUGAAAGUCCCCUGUUGCUGGAGCACACUGCUCCAGAAUGUCGGCCUCAGUACUGACGGGCAAGACUGCUGCAUGGUCACCACUGCUGAAAUUCCAGAAGUCGUGCUCACCGGGGACACUAGCCAAAUGUUCUUUAUUAGGCUUUCAUUACAUUUUUGGAGGCGUUCCUUGGAACAUAUCCCAGAAAGAAGCACCUGUCUUUGCCCCCUGGUAAGAUUUAUUGGGGAUUUUAUGGAGGAACCAAUUUAUUCUCAAAUUUUCUAGGCUGGGAGCCACUGGGACGUCCAGAUGAUACUUUCUUUUCAACGGAACAUAUGUAAAUUACGAGUUCCUGUGGCAAUCAUCCGAGAACCCAGUGAGUCCUGUACUUCUCAGGUUGGAGGUCCUUCCUCCUGGCUACAUCCCUUACUCUCAGUUCUACUUUCCUCCAGGGGUUGCUGGAUUUCUCAGAAUUCCCUUGCACAAUCGAUUGAGGACUAACAACAGCCUCAAUUUUUGAGGCCCAAAUAGCCUACUUCCUUAAUCAUGGUAAUUAAUUCUCUUUCUUUCCCCACUACUUAAAUAAUUAAGAUAAAGACAGAACAAGUGAAUUCAAUUAAUUUGCUAGGCUGGUGCGCACACUUAGGGAAACAGUUACGUUUACCAGUAUAUGAAAGGAUAUGAUAAAGGAUACAGAUGAACAGACAGAUAAAGAGAUAUAGAGUGAGGUCUGGGAGGGUCCCAAGUAAGGAGCUUCUGUCCUCAUGGCACUGAGGUAUGUCACCCUCCUGGUGUGGAUGUGUUUGCCAGCCUGGAAGUUCCCAGAACCCCCUCAAAAUUGGGAUUUUUGUGGAGGCUUCCUCAUGGCUUGAUCAAUUAUUGCUCCAUUUCCAGCCCCUCUCCCCUUUCUGGAGGGUGGGGGAGGGGGUUAGGUGGAAAACUCCAAAAUUCUAAUCACAGUUUGGUCUUUCUGGUCACCAGCCCUCCUCCAGCAGCCCACCUAAAAUCACUUCAUUUGAACAAAAGAUGCUCCUGGUGCUCAUAGCACUUAGGAAUCUCUAGAGGUUGUAGGGGCUCUGUGCCAAGGAAGCGGGGUAGACACCAACAUGUAUAAUUUCUAUUAUCUCACAGAUGGGGACAUGGCUGACUGAGGUGGCUGUGACAAGGAUCACAAGUGGCAACAUGAUCAGUUUAGGUUUUUAGCUUGAGUGAAUCUGUCAGUU
rnacentral:lncRNA from 12 species